rnacentral:misc_RNA from 1 species
ACAGAAUUUAUAAAAAGGAUCAGGUCUCUCUCCCAAUCAUCUCCAAAGGAUCUCUUUGCAGUAUCAGAAAUGUAGAGAAGUAAGAGUGAAAAGAAGACACAUGUCUUCUCCUCAUUUGAAAUUCCUUGAAGAUCUAAAAGAGUGACCAUAAUACUCCUAAGAGAAGUAUCUGAUGAUACUGAGCAUUGAGCAAGACAAUGGCUGGUAGCAUGGUAAACACUUGAAAUGCUGUUCUCAUCGUUGUUAUUUGAAAAGAUG